rnacentral:rRNA from 1 species
ACGGAGUUCUUGAGGAAUGCGGCUUCGGCCAAAUGACUUUUGAACUUAGUGGCGGACGGGUGAGUAACGCGUGAGCAACCUGCCUUUCAGAGGGGGAUAACAUUUGGAAACAGAUGCUAAUACCGCAUAAGAUUACAGUACCGCAUGAUACAGUGAUCAAAGGAGCAAUCCGCUGAAAGAUGGGCUCGCGUCCGAUUAGAUAGUUGGUGAGGUAACGGCUCACCAAGUCGACGAUCGGUAGCCGGACUGAGAGGUUGAACGGCCACAUUGGGACUGAGACACGGCCCAGACUCCUACGGGAGGCAGCAGUGGGGAAUAUUGCACAAUGGGCGAAAGCCUGAUGCAGCAACGCCGCGUGAGGGAAGACGGUUUUCGGAUUGUAAACCUCUGUUUUCGGUGACGAAUAAAUGACGGUAACCGAGUAGGAAGCCACGGCUAACUACGUGCCAGCAGCCGCGGUAAUACGUAGGUGGCAAGCGUUAUCCGGAAUUACUGGGUGUAAAGGGAGCGCAGGCGGGAUAGCAAGUCAGCUGUGAAAACUAUGGGCUCAACCCAUAAACUGCAGUUGAAACUGUUAUUCUUGAGUGGAGUAGAGGCAAGCGGAAUUCCGAGUGUAGCGGUGAAAUGCGUAGAUAUUCGGAGGAACACCAGUGGCGAAGGCGGCUUGCUGGGCUCUAACUGACGCUGAGGCUCGAAAGUGCGGGGAGCA